GGACAGGUGUCAGAGUGGUCGAAUGAGCACGCUUGGAAAGCGUGUGUGCUGGAAACAGUACCGUGGGUUCGAAUCCCACCCUGUCCGCCA
rnacentral:tRNA from 1 species